CUGUGUUCUAUAUGUUUUUUUAGCCGCGUUGCUUUUCCUAUUCUCGAAGUUCACAUAUAGAGCUUUCUGAUAAUCAAAAUGCUGUAGGGUUCUAUUCUCAAUGUUAAAUCAUGUUCCUCGUCUUUUGCGCUGAUCGCUCUUGGCCCUGAUGAUCGUUUUCAAAUAACCUAGUCAGCCACGGCUGAGUCUGGGCCUUCGGACGAUACAUAUCAUCUUCAAAUUUUCUGCUGCUCUCCCCGCGUACUUGCCACUGCCUUUUUUUUUGAAACUGUGACAUGACUGCUGUCGUUUCUAUUAGCAGGAGAGAAAAGGUAACCAAGAGCGCUGUUGUUUCUAUCAAUAAUACUACACCUAUAGAACAUGUAAUCCUGUCAGAAGAUCCGGUCAUUACUCCCCUUCCAAAGCUGCCAAGAGUACUAGGAUCCGACCCUUGGGCAUCACCUUGAGUUUAGGAUCACCUUUGAUGGCAGACUCUUUGUUUCGUUCUCCUUCAACCCUUGGGCGUCGCCUUGAGUUUAGGAUCCCACCUACACAUACAAUGCAUUAUUUUUUUCCCUAGCUAGUUCCGAAAAAUAACUACCCUGUCAAAUUGAUUUGCAUCUAUACAUACAAUGCAUUUCUCUCUCAAAUGGAGAGACUUGCAUCUGUACAUCAAACCAAAUCGUGAUACAUGGCCGGAAUUUCGAUGAGAAUGAACUAUGGUUUGACCUAGGACUAAAAAAUGCAGUCGAAAAAACAAGAUUUGAACGAAAAACACCGAGGUCUACGAUGUUUCCUACUGCGCCAUGCCAUACGGUCCGCGAGGAAGGAUAAGGUCGCGGGCCAGUGGGAAAUGCUUCGCGGAAGGAUAAGGUCGCAGGCCAGUGGGAAAUGCCAUUGACCCUACAUUUCCCGUGUAACACAUCCUGUCAUUUUAGAGAAGUCAUGGCAUUUUAGAGAAGGGUCAGAUCGUCAAAUACUUGCAAAAUAGGGUUAGUUUGUGUUAAACUUCGUUAGCAAGGUCAAGCAGUGAUUUUGGCCACGAGAACACAGCCACAUCAUUUCCCCUGGGGUGUUUGUUAUCCUCAAUGUACAUGUAAUUAUACACCAUGAGUCAACCACAUCAAUUCUCCCAAGUUUUCCUCUUCUACAUCUACAUAAUUAAAAGGUAAUAACCUUGCAAGCAAAAGAUCUCCUUUAUAGCAUACGUUCGGCAUCGAGAUGGAUUAUGGUAAUCUAGCUUUUCCCAGCACCUUUUGCCUACUUCUUCUUUGGAUAACCAGUUUUUUCAAGAUUGUAAAAUAACGGAACCCUUAGAAUCACCAGCCUGGUUUCUUUCUAGAAACCAGCCACAUCGUUAGCUCGCCACGUGUCCGUGGCUAAUGCUCGGUUAGACACGUGCCCAGUGCCCCAGCCCGACCAUACUCAUUUCUCGUUACCCGUGUUAGAAGGGAGAGAGGGAUUUGGUGGAAUAGUUCGUUGUAUUGCUUGAGCCUCGUGGGCAUCGAGAAAUAAGGAUGACAGUGAACCUCCCGGCUCCUCAGCGAUUUGGGAUUCCUGGCCGUCGGAUCUGGUGGCUUGAUCGGAUCUGGGCCGUUGGAUCGAGCCCUGGGUCGCCCUCGCCCGUUGGAUCGAAGAGGUGCUCCUGUAGCAAUGAAUAGUUACCGUCUCGCGGUAAAGAUCUCGUGCCACCGAGCGUAAUUCCCGUGCCAUGCUGAGGGCAUUUUCGUAAUUUCACUAUGCUGUAUAAAAGUGCAACACCCAGGGUUUCUCCCCAAUCGGCUUCCUCCCCUCGUCCUAUUCACGCGAGGGAGAGCUGCCGCCCCCUCCCCUUCCAACCUCCUGCUCCGACCCCGCAGAGGGCGCGUCCAUGGCCGGAGCGGAGGAGGAGAUCCAGGCGGAGUGCGCCAUCUCCAUCGCCACGGCCCCCCGCCUUCGUUGAGCCGCUCGUCAUCUUCCUCGUCCUCGUCUCUGAUCUGCUCCAUCUCCUCGUAAUCUUCCUUCUCUACAGCCCCUCGCCGGCGACCUCCUCCUCCACAGCCUUGCCGACGACCUCCUCUCCCGCACUCGCGCCGCUCCCUCCCGCACUCGAGCCGCUCCAUCUCUCUCCUCCCCCCAAACCCUAACCCGCACCCGCCUCCCUGCCCCGCCGCCGCCAUCUCCUUCAUCCAGCCGGCCGCCGCCUUGGCCGGCUCGUGGUGGAAGACGGCCGCCGCCUUGGCCGGCUCGUGGUGGAAGACCUAGCAGCUGUUGUCGUGGUGGAUGACCUAGCCGCUGGCUCCGUCCGCACUCGCGCCCCCACCCUUCCUCUCCUCAUCGCGCCGCCACCAUCCCUUCUUCUUCGGCCUCUCCUCUUCCUCCCUUCCCUCACCUAGUGUUUGGUGGGUGAGCUCAGUGUCGUCUGCCAAUGGUGGACAAGGAGAUCCGGCAUGAACCACGCACAGGGAGGAGCUCGACCUCUACUGCCUAUGCAUGCCCCCAGAUUGUAGUCUAAAUCUGAAUUGUUUAACCCGCUGACGUGCAUCCGGAGAGAAUACUGAUGGCUAGGGUUGAUUGUGCAUCAAUGGUGAGCUGAUUUUCUUAUUUUUAAUAAGCUUUCUGGCUGUGCUGGAGGGCGGCUUGGUCUCGGCAUCGGGCGUUUCGCAGCGUGGUUUGUCUGCUAUUUGCAGGUGCUUGUUGGUCUGGCCGGUUCAUCCUUUGAUUUGUGCCAUCUUGCUACAUCUUCGCCCUUUUCUGGUUACUUGCCGUACUCGUUUUUUCCUUCCACGGACGAUUCCGAGCGAUCUGUGCUUCGCCUCUGCUGCCGGCGGUUGUGCCAGUCAUGCUCCUCCUGUUCUUUGUGAUUUGAAAGCAACUGAUGACUCAAUAUCAAUCAGUGCAUGGAGGGAACUCUUCUCCACCAUGCCGAUGACAGGAAAGGGGAAAAUCCAGUCCGCGGUGCCACCAAUGAACAAGGUGAUGCAAAUCAAUAUCUUGCUUUGUCUAUGCUAUGAAGUGGCCUAAGCGCUAGACCACGGGGAACCAGGACCGGUUACUUUCCUGGUGACCUUAUUAUUCGGUAUGGUGCUUGCAAAUUGAUCUUUUGUUGUGUUUAUUCACUGAAGCUUGUACUGUCAAACAGAGUUGCUAUUGUAUUGAUGCCUUGGAAUGUUGUUAAAUCAAGUAAUGCAGCUGAAUUUGUCUGCUACAUGUUAAUCUUGCUCUUUGAUACUUGUUCACAAAUUGUUUACUUGAUGCUUGAUGGCAACUGCUAUUCUUACAAGACUAUCAAUCUGAGAUUUAUCAUAACUCAGAAAAAUGAGAUGUGCACAUAUGUUUAUAUUUUGAUUUACUAAUGGUUUCCUUGAUGUGGAUGUUUUCUUGCAUUAUCUGAUUUCUAAUCUGCAGUAGAUGUGACACAAGUUUAUCAUUUCUCAUUGUAUGGAGUGAACCGAGGCAGCAACUAGCUGGACGUGGAAGUGUUGUUCCUGAAGGAGAAGUGUGAGGUUGUGCUUGAGAAGAUCUCCAGGCUGGAGGAGAUGGCUUCUCUAUUCAUUUAUUUUCUCCCUGAAGGUAAGUACAGUGUGCAAUACACUAUCUUUUGGAGGAUAACAAAAACCAACUUCAGUACUCUCUUAAGACAACCAUGUGUAUUAUGCACGGAUGUCCGCUAAGUAUUUUGGGAAGGGAAUGAACAACUCUUUCAGAAUAACAAACAAGUGCUACAAUAUAAGGAACAAGUACGUACAUAUUAUAUUUUUUUCACCUUGAAGAGCACAUUACAUUACGAGUUGAAACGAUUUGUGUUGUUUAUAUUGAAAAAGCAUCAUGAAGGUGAUGUAGAUGUUUUUUUAAAUAAUCUGAUAUCUUUUGUUUUAAAUCACAUAGCACAAAGGUAUUCUGCUAGCUAUAUAAAAAUAGUAAUAUUAGAACUAGACGUAUAUUCUUUUUAGCUAUGCCCUAAAUAAGUGUCUCGACUUUGUACUAAAGUUGAGACACUUAUUUUGGGAUGGAGGAAGUGCAUUAUUAUAGUAGUUGUAAAUACUAAAUAGAAACCUUUCAAGUCUUACAUUUUUUCCAAACUGUUCAUCGUAUGAGACAUAACAAAAAGCAUUUGAUCCAUUGAUGUGCAAUACCAGACUCUAUACUAACUUAUAUUUUUGGUCAACAAAAUUAAACCUGUCAAUAAUCAAUCUACUCUGUAAAAAUGAAGGCUUGCAACUAUUAUAUGACAACAAUGUUGUUUUUGGUACCUUCUCCUUCAGUUAUGUGCAAUUUGUGUUCGAUUCCAAUUUGCUGGUUUACAAAUCUUAUGUAUUUGUAUCUUUGUCAAAUGAAGUAUGAGCUGCUAUGUAACAUUAAAAAAACUCUGUUUAUCCAGUCCUUUGUUGUGAUGUACUCCCUCCGUCCCAUAAUAUAAGAACGUUUUUUACACUAGUGUAGUGUAAAACACGUUCUUGUAUUAUGGGAAGGAGGGAGUAUUUGCUAGCAUGAGAUGUCGGAUUCAGAGCAACAAGGCAACUAAAGGAUGGGGUUAUGGCAAGGAGGCACACACAUGGAUGAUCGGUGAGGUCGCUAGAGCUUAGAAGGUGGAGUGAGGAACAAGAGCGGAAUGGAUUCUGUCGCCACGAUGUUGAAUGGGAUGUGCACCACUGUUUUUGUACCUAUAUUAAAGUAUAUUUUUGUGAUGAGCAGCUACAGCUUGUGUUUGCAAAUAUGUUCCUUUUUAGCUUUAACCAUUUUUUGUGAAGAGAAUAUUUUGUAAACCAGUGCAAACUUUGCCUGAAUUACCAUCCAUUUGGCAAAAUGUUAAAGCAGAUUAGAUCAUUCCUCGCAA